UUUGAAUCUGUAGAAAAGGGUCAUUUCUGUCUGAGUCCGGAGAGGCACUGCAAAAGAAAAUGUCCUUACUGCUCUCUGAUGAGCUCAGAUUUAGGAGAAAUCUAGUAUAGUGCUUCCAUGGUUUUAUUAUUUACAGUGAUGGAAAUGUUGCGGAAGCGACGAUAAUAUUAAUAACAAUAUUAUCAGAAAUAUUUAGAUAAUUAUUAUGCCAACAAUUAUACUAAGAAAAUUCCCAGUUAAAUUGGAGGGGUCACAAAUGGUCCCGCUUAAAACCCAACAACUAGACAGAACUCACUUAGAUAUUUAUAGCAAUAAUAACUAAAUAAAUAUAACCAACAUAAAGCUAUUAAAUAUAAGCAAACAAAUAAGAAAUAAAAUACCAGAUAUUUAACGAGGUUCGGCCAAUUUAGCUUACGUCCUCGGACACUACCAAAUUAAUAUUUCUUCUAGAAAUAUUACAAAGGAGAAGAUUUUGGGAUGAUAAAACCAAAGGGGGAGGGGUUCUAUAUAUAACAAACCAAACCCCCUCCCUUUCUAUCUUUUCCUAAUGUGGGAUAUUGCCAAUAUUCAACAAAUCUCCACCUUGGCGAUAUUCCACAUCUUCGAACAUCUUCUCAUAACACAAACUUCAAUAGUGUCUUCAAAUUUGCGCCAACGACGCCAUAUCAAAUGUGUCGGACAUUGAUCAAGUCUAAACAAUGUUCAAACUUGGCCCUUGUAACCACCUUAGUUAGCAUAUCUGCAGGAUUCUCCGUAGUGUGAAUCUUUUGGAGAAGUAUCUCCUCUUCUUCGAGAAUUUCCCGCACAAAGUGAUAGCGAACGUCUAUGUGCUUCGUUCGUGCAUGAAAAACUUGAUUCUUUGCUAAAUGAAUAGCACUCUGACUGUCAGAAUAUACCUUAAGUUGUUUCUGACCAACUUCCAAGUCUUUAAGCAAUCCAUGAAGCCAAAUUGCUUCCUUCACAGCCUCUGUAAUUGCCAUAUACUCUGCCUCUGUUGUAGACAAAGCCACCGUGGACUGUAAGGUAGAUUUCCAACUAACUGGCGCUUUCGCUAAAGUAAACAAAUAGCCAGUUGUAGACCGUCGCUUAUCCAAAUCACCUGCAUAAUUAGAAUCACAAUAUCCAACUAUGCAUUGACCAAAUGAUUCAUCCUGCUCGAAUGCCAAUCCGACAUCUAUGGUAUUUUGGAGAUACCGCAGAAUCCAUUUCACAGCUUGCCAAUGACCCCUGCCCGGAUCAUGCAUGUACCUGCUAACAACACUAACAGCCUGUGAAAUAUCUGGUCUUGUACAUACCAUUGCAUACAUCAAGCUUCCAACUGCAUUUGCAUAUGGGACUUUUGCCAUGUACUCUCGUUCUUCCUUAGUCGUUGGAGAUAACUGGUUACUUAGUUUAAAAUGAGGAGCAACUGGGGUACUUACAGGUUUUGUACCUUCAGACAUACCGAAACGUUGUAGUACCUUCUCUAAAUACUGUUUUUGUGACAGCCAAAGUUUGCCCCUCUUUCUAUCCCGAGUUAUUUCCAUGCCGAGAAUCUUCUUAGCUUCCCCUAAAUCCUUCAUCUCAAACUCUUUGCUCAACUGAGCCUUCAGUCUAUCAAUCUCCAUUUGGCUCUUUGCUGCAAUCAGCAUAUCAUCAACAUACAAGAGUAAGUAGAUGUAGGAACUAUCUUGAAGCUUGCACAAAUACACACAAUGAUCGUAUUUGCUUCUUUUGUACUUCUGGUCCUUCAUGAACCUGUCAAAUCGUUUGUACCAUUGUCUCGGAGAUUGUUUCAAUCCGUACAACGAUUUGCUAAGUUUACACACCCAAUUUUCUUUACCAGCAAUCCUGUAUCCAUCUGGCUGAGUCAUAUAGAUUUCCUCCUUCAAAUCACCGUGUAGAAACGCGGUCUUCACAUCAAGUUGAGCUAGCUCCAAAUUCAACUGCGCUACCAAGGCCAACAAAAUUCUAAUGGAGGAAUGUUUAACAACUGGAGAAAAUACCUCAUUAUAGUCAAUUCCCUCCUUCUGAGCGUAGCCUUUAGCCACUAACCUUGCCUUGUAACGAACAUCUUCUUUGUCAGGAAAUCCUUCUUUCUUUGCAAAUACCCAUUUGCAACCAAUCGCCUUCUUCCCUUUUGGUAGUUGUGCCAACUUCCACGUCUUGUUUUUUUCUAGAGAUUGCAUUUCCUCUUCCAUUGCACCUAACCAUUUAUUAUUCUCUAAACUCUGAAUGGCUUCGGUGUAAGUGGAUGGAAUAUUAUCAACAAUUGGAAGUGCAUAAGCUACCAUGUCAGUGAAACGAGCUGGUUUCUGAAUUUCUCGUCUCUGCCUUCUGACUGCAAUUGGCUCUGAUUGCUGUUGAGGUUCUUGGGUAGAAACCUCUUCCUCAUCUGACUCUGCAUCUGCCAAUGAAGAAUCACUAGUGGUACCUUCUGCUGGAAUUACCACACUCUGCUCAAACUCCACCUGCUGCGGAGUACACUCCACCUGCUGCGAAGUACUACUCACUCCUUCUGGAUUUACCUUAUUCAACAUGGCAGAUUCAUGAAAGGUAACAUCCCUACUGAUUAUCGUCUUCUUUGCCUUUAGACACCACAAACGAUAUCCCUUAACACCAGCAUUGAAGCCCAUGAAUAGAGCCUUCUUUGCCCUUGGAUCUAACUUUGAUUCUUUCACAUGAUAAUAUGCAAUAGAACCAAAAAUGCGCAAGGUGUCAUAAUCAGUAGCAGGUUUUCCAUACCAUUUCUCCAAAGGAGUCUUGCCAUUUAUAGCAGAUGAUGGCAAAUGAUUGAUGAGAUGUUGAGCGUACGUCACAGCCUCAGCCCAAAACUUUCUAUCUAAUCCAGCAUUAGAUAACAUACAUCGAACUUUCUCCACAAGCGUUCGAUUCAUACGCUCUGCCACCCCAUUCUGUUGCGGUGUUCCACCUACGGUGAAGUGCCUUACUAUGCCACAAUCUUGGCAUAUCUUCAGGAAUGGAUCGCUUUUAUAUUCUCCACCGUUGUCUGAUCGGAGAACCUUAAUCUUCCUUCCUGUCUGAUUUUCAAUUUUAGUUUUCCACUUAAGGAAAACUUCAAGCACCUCAUCUUUGUUCUUCAUAGGAAACACCCAAACUCGUCUGGAAAAAUCAUCAAUAAAGGUGACAAAAUAACGUCUUCCUCCAAGUGAUGGAGUCUUGGACGGUCCCCAUACAUCAGAAUGCACAUAAUCCAGAAUACCUUUAGUAUUGUGAAUCCCAGUGCCAAAUUUCACCCUUCGUUGUUUUCCCAGAACACAAUGCUCGCAAAAUUCAAGUUUGCAAGUCUUUGUACCUUUCAAUAAUCCUUGCUUGGCUAGAGUUUGCAAGGAUUUUUCACCAGCAUGGCCCAAACGCAUAUGCCACAACUGUGUUGCCUCAGCGUCCUUCUUGGUACUCGAAAUUGCUGCUGCUGUUGUCCCGACCACUGUACUACCUUGGUAGUAAUACAGAUUGUUCUUUCUUAUGCCUUUCAACAUCACCAAUGCUCCUGAAGUUGCUUUAAGAACUCCAUCUCGUAUUGUCACAACUAGGCCUUUAGAUUCUAACGACCCCAAAGAGAUGAGAUUCUUCUUCAACUUUGGGACAUAUCGUACAUCCCGCAAAAUUCUAGUAGAUCCAUCAUGACUCCUCAGUUUAAUUGAACCUAUCCCGGCUAUUUUACAUGUGUUAUCAUUACCCAUGUAAACAACCCCUCCAUCUAGUUUUUGAAAUUCAAAGAACCAUUCCCAAAUGGGACACAUAUGAUAGGAACAACCAGAAUCCAUGAUCCACUCAUCUGCAUGUGAUGUUGAAGAUGUCAUACUAAGAGAAAAGUUUGACUCUGCUUCACUAUUGCAUUCUGCAACAUUUGCAUCUUGCGGAGUCUUCCCUUUUUUCUUCAAUUUUGGACAAUCUUUCUUCCAAUGUCCUUUUUCUUUGCAAAAGGAACAUUCAUCUUUGGCAACAGCUCGACCUUUGGACUUUCUUCUCUUCCCCUUAGACUGACUUUGCUGACGACCUCUUGUUACCAAUGCUUCCACUGCUGCUUCACCUGAACCUUUCAACUUAUCCUUUCGGCGUAGUUCAUAGCUAUACAAUGCAGCAGUUACUUCAUUGAAAGUUACUUCCGAUUUUCCAUGAAGUAGAGUAGUUUCAAGGUACUCAAACUCCUCAGGAAGCGAUCCCAACAACAUUAACGCCAAGUCUUCGUCUUCAAAAGUCACAUCCAAAUUCAACAAAUCAGCCACCAGCUGAUUAAAAUUGGUAAUGUGCUCGUUCAUCGUGGUACCAGGAACAUAAUUGAAACGAAACAGUCUUUUCUUCAUAUGCAACUUAUUUUGACUGUUCUUCUUCAAGAAUUUCUCCUCCAAUGCUUUCCACAAUUUACUUGCAGAAGUCUCUUUACUGAAUGUAUACUUCUGCUCUCUGGAAAGACAUGAUCGAAUUGUACCACAUGCCAAUCGGUUGAUGGUCUUCCAUUCUUUAUCAUCAACCCCUUCUGGUUUUUCUUCCUCAAUGGCAAUAUCUAGACCCUGUUGAAAGAGGGCAUCUAGAAGCUCACUUUGCCACAUGCCGAAAUAACCUGUUCCAUCAAAAAUUUCCACUACAAAUCUCGUAUUUGCAGUUCCAAUCCUCGGCAAAAUGUACGAAGUGGAAGUUGUUGAUAUGGAUGGUUUUUCUUCUGUCAUUUUUGCCAUAGCUUCUACUUAAUAGCCACCAAAUGCAGAAUACCCACAAGCUUUAGGAAAUGUUUCUGAUGUGUAAGAUCAGACUAAGCUGCAAACACAGAGCAUACUACAAAACCUUGGCUCGGAUACCAAUUGUUGCGGAAGCGACGAUAAUAUUAAUAACAAUAUUAUCAGAAAUAUUUAGAUAAUUAUUAUGCCAACAAUUAUACUAAGAAAAUUCCCAGUUAAAUUGGAGGGGUCACAAAUGGUCCCGCUUAAAACCCAACAACUAGACAGAACUCACUUAGAUAUUUAUAGCAAUAAUAACUAAAUAAAUAUAACCAACAUAAAGCUAUUAAAUAUAAGCAAACAAAUAAGAAAUAAAAUACCAGAGAUUUAACGAGGUUCGGCCAAUUUAGCUUACGUCCUCGGACACUACCAAAUUAAUAUUUCUUCUAGAAAUAUUACAAAGGAGAAGAUUUUGGGAUGAUAAAACCAAAGGGGGAGGGGUUCUAUAUAUAACAAACCAAACCCCCUCCCUUUCUAUCUUUUCCUAAUGUGGGAUAUUGCCAAUAUUCAACAGGAAAGACAUAGCUAGUAUACUCCAUUAAAACGACUAUAGAUGCAAAGAAGAGGAAAUGUGUUUUUUGGAAGACGAUAGGUUUUAGGUUUCUUUAGUUUUUUUCUUUCUUUCUUUUAGGUUUUGCUUACUUAAGACUUUAUCAGAGGCCUUUCAAUUUCUUUUUUAAUUUUUUUCUUUCAAUUUACUUAAGACAGCUGUAGAGUUUGGACUUUUG
rnacentral:lncRNA from 1 species